rnacentral:rRNA from 1 species
UACAGAGGGCUCAAGCGUUGUUCGGAUUCAUUGGGCGUAAAGGGCGCGUAGGUGGCGGGGCAAGUCAGGUGUGAAAUCUCGGAGCUCAACUCCGAAACUGCACUUGAUACUGCCUUGCUGGAGUACUGGAGAGGAGAUUGGAAUUUACGGUGUAGCAGUGAAAUGCGUAGAUAUCGUAAGGAAGACCAGUGGCGAAGGCGAAUCUCUGGACAGUUACUGACACUGAGGCACGAAGGCCAGGGGAGCAAACGGG